rnacentral:rRNA from 1 species
CGUGCUAAUCUGCGAUAAGCGCCGGUAAGGUGAUAUGAACCGUUAUAACCGGCGAUUUCCGAAUGGGGAAACCCAGUGUGAUUCGUCACACUAUCAUUAACUGAAUCCAUAGGUUAAUGAGGCGAACCGGGGGAACUGAAACAUCUAAGUACCCCGAGGAAAAGAAAUCAACCGAGAUUCCCCCAGUAGCGGCGAGCGAACGGGGAGGAGCCCAGAGCCUGAAUCAGCAUGUGUGUUAGUGGAAGCGUCUGGAAAGGCGCGCGAUACAGGGUGACAGCCCCGUACACAAAAGCGCAUGUGCU